rnacentral:rRNA from 1 species
AACGAACGCUGGCGGCAUGCCUAACACAUGCAAGUCGAACGAUCCCUUCGGGGAUAGUGGCGCACGGGUGCGUAACGCGUGGGAAUCUGCCCUUUGCUUCGGAAUAACAGUGAGAAAUUACUGCUAAUACCGGAUGAUGUCUUCGGACCAAAGAUUUAUCGGCAAGGGAUGAGCCCGCGUAGGAUUAGGUAGUUGGUGGGGUAAUGGCCUACCAAGCCGACGAUCCUUAGCUGGUCUGAGAGGAUGAUCAGCCACACUGGGACUGAGACACGGCCCAGACUCCUACGGGAGGCAGCAGUGGGGAAUAUUGGACAAUGGGCGCAAGCCUGAUCCAGCAAUGCCGCGUGAGUGAUGAAGGCCUUAGGGUUGUAAAGCUCUUUUACCAGGGAUGAUAAUGACAGUACCUGGAGAAUAAGCUCCGGCUAACUACGUGCCAGCAGCCGCCGUAAUAC